AAGGGAAGGGGAUAUGGGUGAAUGGAGAACUGUCUGAUUAGUUGGAAGGGUCCUUCCCUUUGGAUACCUUUUUGGACAGGUUUUUUUUAUUAUGAUAUAGAUUCUGCAUGUGUGCACUAACAAGAUACCUCCAUCUCCUGAAAUGCCUCCAUCUCCUGAAAUACCCCUAUAUUGAAACUGGCUCAGCUGCAUGCAAAGUACAGGUGACUUCAUGUUAGCUGGGCUAUAUGCAAGACAGCUAGACCUUGUCUACACUAUGCAGAAAGGCCUUGGAACACCAGUACAACACAGCACCCGCCUCAAGUGGCUUUCAGACAUUGCUUGCAACAUCUGGGCCAAUGUCUCUAGCUCAUGCCUGGUUAGGACCAAUGCAGUGUUCAGUGAUUUCUCUCUGGUGCAGUAAGUCGACAGGUGUUGCAGCUACACCAGUUUUGCACAAUGUCUUUAGAAACUACAAAGGCCCUGCCUGCCACUUCAGUGCUGGAUCUUAUAGGAAGGUUGCUUCAUGAACUGCAGAAUGCACUGGCCCUAACCAUAGGGAUGAGGUGUGGGGAGUCACUGUAGCAGUGCUAAACCAUUGUAAGAACGAAGUCCCUGCAAUGCUUCCCUCACUUAGCAGAUGCACACCCAGUGUGUAUUAGAUAGCUCCUGGCAUAUAUUCCUGCCACAAGUCAGAAUGACUUGGGUGUGCUCCAGGAACUCUGCGUUUGUAUGAAUGCUGCCUUUCAGACAGUAAAUAGGUCAGUACACUACAAAUAAUUCACGCUGUAUCUAGGCUUCCAUUGAAACAGAUUGGUACCAGCAUUCACCUGCCACAGCAACGUAUCAAGUUGUAACUUAUAUACUGAAGUGUGUUGUGUGUGUGGCAAGGAAACAAACUAAUUGGCCUUCAGAGGCCUCAUCGUCUAGUAGGAAAUGGAUAACAGGCAGUAAAAACAGGACUGACUGCUUUUACUAAGUCAGCAGUUUGCAAGCCGAGCUUUUAGCACAUGCUGGAGAAAGGUCAGCUAUAUCCUGCAGUGUUUCUUGGGAUAAACUUCUCUCCAGCCCAUCCCCCGGGGUGAAGAGGAACCAUCAGGGUUACUUUCCUGUUGGCUUGGCACACAGAUCAAUAGGCUGGAGGAGUGGGUUGAAUCACAGCUUUUGUUUUCCACAUGCAGCAUGGGGGAGGGGGGUGACAGGUAGGGGUAGGAAAAGCUCCUGUCUCCCUUGGAAAUGGCCCAGAACAAAGCCAGACAGUGCAUACAGCAGGCUGAUGAAUAUCUGGGCUGCCAUAUCUCAAAGGGCUUUACAAAGCACUCCAGGUAAAACAGCCUAAGUGAAUUGAGAGCUGGAUGCUUUCUGCACGUGAACGGUAGGGCUUUUUUUGGCUGGCUUAAGACUCCAUUUAAGUCACUUUAAAAAGUGGUUACAGGCUAAAGUCUGAGCAUUGGAGCGUGGUGGCUUGUUGUUUUGUUUUUCUUUUCAUGCCAAUGAUUUCUGUGAGGAUCCUGCAUCUGAAUGACUGUCUGCUGCUCUGGAAAAGCUUAACCAUGUAGCAGCAGAUGGGGAAAGUGAGCUGCAUGGAUUGUGCGACUUUGAAGUGUCCCAACCCCAGAAGUUCAAUUGAGGGAUUCAGGCAAAAUAAGCAAAUGCAUUCUGUCCUAGCAGUGCUGUUGCCAUUGGGCAUCCUCCCAUUUUGUUGGAAUAAAGACUGGGGAGACUGAAGCCCACAAGCACAAGGGAAGGCAGAACUGCCUGUUGGGGGUGGGUAUUGCCAUAAAACUUGCCCUCUGUGGAAUCUCUGAAUCAUUGUCAAGGGAGGAACAGUCAUACCUGCACUUCUGUCCUGAUUCACUCAAAGUAGAGGAAAACGGUGUGGCUCUUGGGAUCCUUGGAGCCUCUAAAUUAGGGCUCCCCUGCACUAACCUGUGGGGUGGAGGAAGGAAUGCAAAUCCCUGGCACAGAUGGGGAAUGGACUGUUGAAGUCAUGAUAAAGCUCAGAGUUUUUAAUGUCUCCAGAAUGAACAAAGAGACUGCAGCUGCUUCUGGAAAUCC